GACGAACGCUGGCGGCGUGCUUAACACAUGCAAGUCGAACGAAGAGCGACGGAAGCUUGCUUCUAUCAAUCUUAGUGGCGAACGGGUGAGUAACGCGUAAUCAACCUGCCCUUCAGAGGGGGACAACAGUUGGAAACGACUGCUAAUACCGCAUACGAUCUAACCUCGGCAUCGAGGAUAGAUGAAAGGUGGCCUCUACAUGUAAGCUAUCACUGAAGGAGGGGAUUGCGUCUGAUUAGCUAGUUGGAGGGGUAACGGCCCACCAAGGCGAUGAUCAGUAGGCGGGCUGGAGAGAAGGACCGCCAACAUUGGAACUGGGCCAGGCCCAGACUUCCAAGGGGGGGAGCAGUGGGGGAUCUUCCGAAAAGGACGGAAGGCUGACGGAGCAACGCCGCGUGAGUGAUGACGGCCUUCGGGUUGUAAAGCUCUGUUAAUCGGGACGAAAGGCCUUCUUGCGAAUAGGGAGAAGGAUUGACGGUACCGGAAUAGAAAGCCACGGCUAACUACGUG
rnacentral:rRNA from 1 species